rnacentral:rRNA from 1 species
GACGAACGCUGGCGGCGUGCCUAAUACAUGCAAGUCGACCUUAGUGGCGGACGGGUGAGUAAUGCCUAGGAAUCUGCCUGGUAGUGGGGGAUAACGUCCGGAAACGGGCGCUAAUACCGCAUACUAUCAGAUGAGCCUAGGUCGGAUUAGCUAGUUGGUGGGGGAAAGGCCUACCAAGGCGACGAUCCGUAACUGGUCUGAGAGGAUGAUCAGUCACACGGGAACUGAGACACGGUCCAGACUCCUACGGGAGGCAGCAGUGGGGAAUUUUGGACAAUGGGGGAAACCCUGAUCCAGCCAUCCCGCGUGUAUGAUGAAGGCCUUCGGGUUGUAAAGUACUUUUGGCAGAGAAGCGGUAUCUGCAGAAUAAGCACCGGCUAACUACGUGCCAGCAGCCGCGGUAAUAC